GAGUUUGAUCCUGAGCUCAGGAUGAACGCUAGCGGCAGGCCUAACACAUGCAAGUCGAGGGGUAACAGGGAAAAGCUUGCUUUUCCGCUGACGACCGGCGCACGGGUGCGUAACGCGUAUGCAACCUACCCCUUACUGGGGUAUAGCCCAGAGAAAUUUGGAUUAAUCCCCCAUAGUACCAUUUAAUCGCAUGGUUGAAUGGUUAAGGGUUACGGUAAGAGAUGGGCAUGCGUCCCAUUAGUUAGUUGGUGAGGUAACGGCUCACCAAGACUCCGAUGGGUAGGGGUUCUGAGAGGAUGAUCCCCCACACUGGUACUGAGACACGGACCAGACUCCUACGGGAGGCAGCAGUGAGGAAUAUUGCGCAAUGGACGAAAGUCUGACGCAGCCAUGCCGCGUGCAGGAUGACGGCGCUACGCGUUGUAAACUGCUUUUAUUUACAAAGAAACCUCGGGACGUGUCCCGAGCUGACGGUAGUAUUUGAAUAAGCACCGGCUAACUCCGUGCCAGCAGCCGCGGUAAUACGGAGGGUGCAAGCGUAAUCCGGAUUUAUUGGGUUUAAAGGGUCCGUAGGCGGAUGAUUAAGUCAGUGGUGAAAG
rnacentral:rRNA from 1 species